rnacentral:rRNA from 1 species
AACAAACGCUGGCGGCGUGCCUAAUACAUGCAAGUCGAACGGGGAAAGCUUUCGGGUGAGUACUAGUGGCGCACGGGUGAGUAACGCGUGGAUAAUCUGCCUUAGAGUGGGGGAUAACUAGUCGAAAGAUUAGCUAAUACCGCAUAAGACCACAGGAACCGAGGUUCUAGAGGUCAAAGGUUUUUCGCUCUAAGAUGAGUCCGCGUAAGAUUAGCUAGUUGGUGAGGUAGCGGCUCACCAAGGCAACGAUCUUUAACUGGUCUGAGAGGAUGAUCAGUCACACUGGAACUGAGACACGGUCCAGACUCCUACGGGAGGCAGCAGUAGGGAAUAUUGCACAAUGGAGGAAACUCUGAUGCAGCGACGCCGCGUGAGUGAUGAAGGCCUUCGGGUCGUAAAGCUCUGUCGCAGGGGAAUAACACAAUGAACGUACCCUGUAAGAAAGGAUCGGCUAACUUCGUGCCAGCAGCCGCCGUAAAAC